CAGCCUCCGGCGUCAUCAGCCGAUUCCCACCGGGAUUCAGCGAGCGCCUCUUAUGCAAACUUUCGGCCGUUUGCUGAAAACGACUCACUUGCUGCCAAGCUCAUAAGAAGCUGCUUGACCGGAGGUGAUCACGGCCUGGCAAGAGAAAUGCGUGUGGAGACCACAGGAACCAACGCAUCACAAAACACUUCCAGCUCUCUUAAAACUAUUGCCUGCCUCCAGCCUCAGGAUAAAGGAAGAUAGAACUCGAGAUUAGAGGCCUUCUCACAACUUUCAGUUAUUCUGCCAAUUCAGGGUUUGGGAGGGGGAUAUUACUUGUGUCAUACAGGCACACAGGCUGCAAUUAUUUGAUCCCACGAGGCUUACUCUCGAGUAAAUACGCAUAGGACCCAGAUGCCUCUUUUCACAAAAUUAAGAUUGAGAAAUCAGGAGAGAAGACUGCUGAAUGUGUUCUCAGCUUCUCUUGUAAAACACAGGGCUGAGUGUUGCGCUUCCAACCUGCACUAUUGGCUCAGAUAUGUUAUUGCCAUAAAAAUAGUAAUUUGCCAAGUAACCGAGUCUGAAGGCUUAUGUUUCUCAUUUAAGACUCAGAACUGUGUGCUCUGUGUUGCUUUUAACUCCCAGCUGUCUGCUUCUUACCCUGGAAAAAUGUGGAUAAAAUUUUCUAGUUCUAAAUACGCAAACCCCCACCCACCCACCCAAUGUUCUCCUUCUAACAAUGCAAUCGUCCACACCUUUCUAUUCAGAAGCAAUUUCGACUGAGUUCAGUGGGACUAACUCCCAGGUAAACAAGUACAGGGUUUUGUCCCAUUCCAUUUUAAAAUUUGUAUACCACCUUUCUAUGGAACUGCAAUCAAUGUGGUUUUGCAGCCUCAGUGUUUUUUAAGACCGGUAUCAAAAUACCCAGAGACAACAAUGAACGUACUGUUAAUUCUGGUUUCCGAGGGACAACUGGUGAGCAGAUUUCUGUCGCCAACAAACCCCAGCCAGUGUAAGGAAAUGUAUUUAAUUUAUUUAUGAGAAGACUUCUACCCUGCCUUUCUCCCAUAAAAAGAGACCCAAGGCAGCCUAACAGAAUCAAAAUAAAGGAAGUCAAUAAAAAUCAAUGCAGAAUUAACGAAAACAUAGAAAUACUACAGAUAUACAUAACCCCAUCCACCAUAAAGGCAAAAUUUACCAGCAGCCAGACUAUCCAGUCCCCAAAGAACAGCACCUUUAUGGUGGUUAACUAAAAGUGGCCGGAUCUGAAAACAGUGCAGGUCACACGUACAAAAUGGGAGUUGCCUGUCUUUCAGAAUACCCAGUAUAAAGUCUAUGCAUGUCCUCACAGCUGCUUCACACAGCGGUCAUGUUUGUCACGGCUUCUCUGCUGUCACAUCAAUAUUUUCUAAAACAGCAUCAUAAAAUGCAACAGGCAGGUGCAUGUGAACAUGCGCUGGACACAACCACUCAGACUCCCUGCCAUGUGUUUAAGACCACCAUUCACAUUUUAUGCAUUUGCUGUGGGUAACACAAAUGUAGCUGAAAAACAAUGCUGCUGCUAUGUGAAGUAUGAAGUUGAGUGUCAGUAUGGGCUGGAUGAGGAUACGAUACAAUAAGGAAUAAUGAACGAGAUGCCCAUGGGUAAAUUAACAUGGAAAACAAUUGUCUUCCAUAUGGACAGUCAAGAACCAGGGUCAUGAGGCUGAAAUGAGGGCAAAAUCCAGGUGAGGCAGCUGGCAGCUCAUGGUAAGCUGAAUAUUAAUUUAACUUGAGGCCUGUAGAGAAGGGUUAAAGAAUAAAGUCAAAACAAACCAGUAAAAAAUAUAUAUAUACAAAAAAUAUAUAUCUAUAGUCUUGCCAGAAUACUUCUAAUUGAGGAUGAAUUCCAAACCUAGGUCUGUUACAGAUCACUAACUUUUUCUUGUGCUAGCUACCUCCAAAAAGCAACUUUAGCUUGGUGCUUGCACUGGGAGCCGGAUGAAGAGUUUGCUCAUCACAAAGCUUUAAGAAAUCCGGAUCGUUUGAAGCCGUCCUUACUCCUCCGUCUGUACGUGCCCUUUCAGUUCAGAACUGUUGCUCUGAGCCAGACUUUUAUAGUAAGCAGGCUCGUUGACCUCUGUCUCACCACAGGCUUCCUCUUAAAAGUCAUAUUUCUGUUUAUGAGCUUUUCUAAGGACUGUUAAAAGCCUACGGUGGCUCACAAAGCAAUAUGGUCUGCAGUUUUCAUUUGAGACUUUGCUUAAGGAUGCUCUUCAGAAUCGCUUUCAUCUCCGCAGGGUGGGAAACAUCAUGGGGCAAGCAACCAGGAGCAGACUUUUCAUUGUGUUGUAGGCCAUUGGAGUGUAAUAUUUAAAUAGUAUAUAGCUCAAAGAAAAGCAAACUGCUGGUGACAGAUUUACUUAUUUUUGGAUUAUUAAAAAGAUUGGUUUUAUUUGCACCAUGCUGGUACUUUAAUUAUUUGAUUUCUGGGCUGUGCAAAAUCCACCCUCUCAAACAAGGUUUCCCAAACUGGGGUCUCCAGCUGUUUUUUGGACUGCAACUCCCAUCAUCCCUAGUUAGCAGAAGUAGUGGCCAGGGAUGAUGGGAAUUGUAGUCCAAAAACAGUUGAAGACCCAAGUUUGGGAAACCCUCCUCUAGAACAAUGUCUGUCAAACAGUGGGACAGGGCUCACCAGUGGGUCCACUUUCUGGCAAGCCUUAGUGAAACAGCCUGCUCUGUCCCUCUUCACUUGCUUAAUCCCUUGCCUGCCAUCGCCAUAAGCCUUUCAGCUGGACCAAUGCCAGAACCAGCA